rnacentral:tRNA from 1 species
GGAGAGGUGCCGGAGCGGCUGAACGGGCACGACUGGAAAUCGUGUGAUGGGGAAACUCAUCCGGGGGUUCGAAUCCCCCUCUCUCCG